rnacentral:rRNA from 1 species
GACGAACGCUGGCGGCGUGCUUAACACAUGCAAGUCGAACGGAAAGGCCCUUCUUGCAGCUUACUCGAGUGGCGAACGGGUGAGUAACACGUUGGUGUUUUGCCCUUCACUUCGGGUUAAGCCUGGUAAACUGGGUCUAUUACCCGUUAGUUGCCAUUUUUAGUGUUAUGGUUCUUAAGUUUUUUCGGUGUAGGAUGAGCUCGCGUCCUAUUAGCUUGUUGGUGGGGUAAUUGCCUACCAAGGCGGCGACGGGUAGCCGGCCUGAGGGGGUGGACGGACGAAAUGGGACUGAAAGAAGGCCAAGAGUGGUAAGGGAGGGAGAAGGGGGGAAAAAUGAAAAAUGGGAGGAAGCCUGAUGAAGGGAGGCCGCGUGGGGGAAGAGGGCCUUAGGGUUGUAAAAUGGUUAGGAAAGGGACGAAGCUUUGUGUGACGGUAACUAGAUAAGAAGCAACGGCUAAAUACGUG